ACACCCAUGAGCCAAGCCCCUCGCAUGAUGCCAAUGCACGGUCAACCUCCCUACAUGCCUCCUCCUGGUAUGGCACCUGGGCAGAUGCCUCCAGGUGCUAUGCCUCCAGGUCAGAUGAUGCCAGGACAAAUGCCUGGCCAGAUGCCACAGCAGGUGACAGACAACCCCCA